UUUUUACCCGUCAUCCUUUUCGCUCUUCUUCCUCUUCUUAACCGUUCCGCUUCUUGUCUCUUCCUCUUCUUCUUCUCUCAAGAUGGCGGACCGGCGGAGGCAAAGGGCUUCUCAGGACAGCAGCGAGGAGGACGAGUCUGACUCGCCGCCGGGGAGCGCGGCUCCUUCACCGCGGGGGAGCCACCGCCUUGGUCUGGCCGGACAAGGGGGAAGCGGAGGCGGAGGAGGAGGAGGAGGAGGAGGAGGCAGCCAAGGCGGUGUUUGUGGUGGGGCUGCCAUUGCCGCCGUCGAUGUUGCCGGCACCGAAAGUGUGGAGGCGGCGCUGCCGGAGGGAGGCAGCCCUGGAGACUCGGAGUGUGAAAGUGAAGAUGGCAUAGAAGGAGAUGCGGUUCUCUCUGACUAUGAAAGUGCUGAAGAUUCAGAGGCUGAAGAGGGAGAGUACAGUGAGGAGGAAACAUCCAAAGUGGAGCUGAAGCGGGACAGUAAUGAUGCUGAUUUGACAACAAAAUCAGACAAAGGAGAUGAAAAACCAGAAUCGAAAGGCACUGUGGCAGGGGAGAGGCAAAGUGGGGAUGGACAGGAGAGCACUGAACCAGUUGAGAACAAAGGUGGCAAAAAACUUCCUAAGCACUUGGAUGAUGAUGAGGAUCGGAAGAACCCUGCAUAUAUCCCUCGCAAAGGUCUUUUCUUUGAACAUGACCUUCGUGGGCAGACCCAGGAAGAGGAAGUCCGGCCUAAGGGUCGCCAGCGUAAGCUUUGGAAAGAUGAGGGCCGAUGGGAACAUGACAAAUUCCGGGAAGAUGAACAAGCACCAAAAACAAGGCAGGAGUUGAUUGCUCUCUAUGGCUAUGACAUCCGCUCAGCACACAACCCUGAUGACAUUAAACCCAGAAGAGUGCGCAAGCCAAGAUUUGGGAGCCCACCACAGAGAGAACCAAACUGGUCUAAUGAACGGCCUAAUAAGCCUCCACGACACCAGAGCCUAGAAAGUGCUUCUGUGCCACCCCGGACAUUCAUCAACCGGAAUUCAGCAGGGACAGGACGCAUGCCCCCAGCAAGGACUUUCCCAAGACCCAGUGGCUACAAAGAGACUCGCCCAAGCUAUCGUGCUGUGGAUGUGAACAGUCAGCAUGCACCUCGUUUCAGUGAGCAGUCAAAGCAUGAGAACAGUUACCGGGCAAGGCGCUCAGAACCGGCACCUGCUCGAGAACCCUCUCCAGAGGCAGAGAUCUCAUAUGUUCGUGAGAGCCCUGAUAAAAAGAAUGAGGUUGUUCCAGAAAUUCAACCAACUCCUUCAGAUGUUCUGCAGCCACCACCAGAUAAGCCUGUGGAAAAGAAGUCCUAUUCUCGGGCAAGGAGGAGCCGGAACAAAGCAGGCGAGAUGGGGAAACUGGCAGAUGAAAUCCCACCUCCAUCAGGGUUGACACCUGCACCAUUGAAGACGGCAGAAGUUAUACCAUCAAAUUCCCCAGCAAAGACUAGUAACUGGGAGGUACCUGUUGAAGCCAGUCUAGAUGGCCUUGAGCAGGAUAUGACCCAGAUGAAUAUAACAGAGCAGAACUGGAACCAGGGUCAACCUCAGUUCAUACAACCUCAGGGUAUUCCCAACCAGAUGCACAUUGGGGCAGCCCCACCGCCUCAGUUCAACAGGAUGGAGGAGAUGGGUGUUCAGGGGGGACGUGCAAAGCGUUAUUCAUCACAGCGUCAGAGACCUGUUCCCGAGCCUCCUCCACCAGUGCACAUAAGCAUAAUGGAUGGGCACUACUAUGACACAUUACAGUUCCAGGGACCUAUCUACACUCACAGCGAGAAUCCUGCCCCACUACCUCCACAAGGGGUGAUUGUUCAGCCAGAAAUGCAUCUUCCUCAUCCAGGGUUGCAUCCCCACCAGACACCUGCACCUUUGGCUAACCCUGGUUUGUAUCCUCCGCCGGUCUCCAUGCCUCCUGGACAGCAGCCUCCGCCACCGCCACCACCACAACAGCUGCUAGCACCAACCUACUUCUCUCCUCCUCCCGGAGUGAUGAAUUUUGGCAGUCCUAGUUACCCCUACCCUCCAGGAGCUCUCCCACCACCCCCACCUCCCCACCUAUACCCCAACACUCAAGCCCAGUCUCAGGUAUAUGGAGGGGUUACCUAUUAUAAUACGGUCCAGCAGCAAGUACAGCCAAAACCUUCUCCUCCACGAAGAACAUCCCAGCCCGUCACUAUCAAGCCACCACCCCCUGAGGUAAUGGUUACUUUGCCCACCCCAGUUGCCUACCUCUGUUCAGACUAUGUGUUGCUUCCAUGAGUGGAAGUUCACAAUUCCUAAGGCACUCUCUUCUACCAAAGAAGUAGUUUGUAAGAGCAGAAAAAUUAUUACUUGCCUGUUGUUUUGAUAUGUUGCAAAUUCUAGAUUCUCGUUGCAGGUUGUAAACAGGGCUCCUGUUAACAUUUCUAAACGCUUUUAAAGGAUGGCAGAAACGAAAAAUCCAAAGAAAGGAGCAACACUUAAAGAACUCUGCACUUUGCUGAUUUUAGCAAAGUAGCAGAGUUGGCACAUAUGGCAGGCAGAAGGCAACUCCCCUGUGUGGAGUCUUUCCUCUUGUUCCUUUGAUAAUAGGUGAUGCACAUGGAUGUGUGCACUUCUACAAGGCUACACUAUGUCAGUAUCGUGAUUGGGGCCAGAUUGCUCAUCAGGAGAGCACCAAUGGAAUCACACAUCUUUUCAUUCUCUCUCUCAUCCUAAUGCAGAGAGGCUAUACAAACAUUGUUGGAUGUAAAAUUUAUCUGCUUAUUGAGAGAGAAGCCGUUUCCUUCAUUCUAUUAUUUUCUAAGUGUGACUGUUUGUAGAUGUCAAACUAAAAAAACCCAGUUGGUCCUUAUGUUAAUUUUCCUUUGAAGAACUUGACAUAGCUUUAUUUCUGUUCUGUUUAACUGAUCUUGUUAACUUUACUUGAGUUGUGUGAAUCUGUUCUUUUCUGACUUUCCCUCCAAUAAUUUAAUUUUAAAAUAAGUCAUGCUAGUGCAAAGUCUUAGUUUCUUGGACUAAAAUUAAAGAGGACUCUAAGGAGGAUCAUUUGUGUUAAAAUGGAAACUGUAUUUUUGAUUUCCUGCAUUUUCUUCCUUUUCCAGGGAAAUUACUCUGAAUUAAAAAAUUAGCCCCAGUGGCAGAUGUCUGCUUUACUUUUUCAGCCCUGAGCUGUACCCAACAUGGCUGCCAUUUUGAGGAAGGGGGAAAUUGUUAAGUGUGCUAUAGUAAACCAACAUAUGCAUCUGUGUUUAAUAGCCUGAAAUAACCUGUAAACAUGGACGCUUCAUGUUCUGCCCAGUCUUUUCUGUUCUUCAGAAUGCACAGAGUUUUCCUCGCUGUCCCUCGAAACAGCACUGUUAUUGAGAACUCUUCUGAUGUCUUGCAGACUAUUGGCCUGCUUGCUUGCACUUUGCAGCUUACAUUUUGCCUGCCAAGUUGCACGGCUUCCACGUCCCCAUUCCUCGCACUUUGUAUGCAUUGCCGAUUCAUUUACAGAACCAUUGCAACAACGUGGCCAGCCAACAGCCACUUAUGCUGGAAGGAAGUGUUCAGCACUGGACUGAUGGCAACAGGGUUACUUGGAGCCAUUCUAGGCACCUCUGCUUUCCCGCCUGUUCAUGCUUGUGUAGAUUCGUAUCUGAAAUACCAGGGCCUCUUUUAUUAUAUAUUUUUUAGUUUGAUAACCCUUUUAAUUUAAUUUUUUUUAAAACAAGUACUGCUUGCAUUGGAUAAAAAAAAUCCUUGAUGUUUUGAAGUAUUUGGAUUUUUUCCCCCCUUUACUUUAAUAUUUGAGAUUUAUUCAUUUAACAUAUCAGUCUUGAAAUCUUAGACCUAAUGACACUGUGAUAGCUAAUUUUUGUUAAUAAAUUUUUUUUGUUCCCGUU